rnacentral:rRNA from 1 species
ACGCUAGCUACAGGCUUAACACAUGCAAGUCGAGGGGAAACGGCAUUAAGUGCUUGCACUUUUUGGACGUCGACCGGCGCACGGGUGAGUAACGCGUAUCCAACCUUCCCAUGACUAAGGGAUAACCUGCCGAAAGGCAGACUAAUACCUUAUGGUCUUCACUGACGGCAUCAGAUGUGAAGUAAAGAUUUAUCGGUUAUGGAUGGGGAUGCGUCUGAUUAGCUUGUUGGCGGGGUAACGGCCCACCAAGGCAACGAUCAGUAGGGGUUCUGAGAGGAAGGUCCCCCACAUUGGAACUGAGACACGGUCCAAACUCCUACGGGAGGCAGCAGUGAGGAAUAUUGGUCAGUGGGCGAGAGCCUGAACCAGCCAAGUAGCGUGCAGGAAGACGGCCCUAUGGGUUGUAAACUGCUUUUGUAUGGGGAUAAAGUCAAUCACGUGUGAUUGUUUGCAAGUACCAUACGAAUAAGGACCGGCUAAUUCCGUGCCAGCAGCCGCGGUAAUACGGAAGGUCCGGGCGUUAUCCGGAUUUAUUGGGUUUAAAGGGAGCGUAGGCUGGAGAUUAAGUGUGUUGUGAAAUGUAGACGCUCAACGUCUGACUUGCAGCGCAUACUGGUUUCCUUGAGUACGCACAACGUUGGCGGAAUUCGUCGUGUAGCGGUGAAAUGCUUAGAUAUGACGAAGAACUCCGAUUGCGAAGGCAGCUGACGGGAGCGCAACUGACGCUGAAGCUCGAAGGUGCGGGUAUCGAACAGGAUUAGAUACCCUGGUAGUCCGCACAGUAAACGAUGGAUGCCCGCUGUUGGUACCUGGUAUCAGCGGCUAAGCGAAAGCAUUAAGCAUCCCACCUGGGGAGUACGCCGGCAACGGUGAAACUCAAAGGAAUUGACGGGGGCCCGCACAAGCGGA